rnacentral:rRNA from 2 species
AAAUCCGGUUCACUUUAACACUGAGGCGUGACGACGAGGCACUACGGUGCUGAAGCAACAAAUGCCCUGCUUCCAGGAAAAGCCUCUAAGCAUCAGGUAACAUCAAAUCGUACCCCAAACCGACACAGGUGGUCAGGUAGAGAAUACCAAGGCGCUUGAGAGAACUCGGGUGAAGGAACUAGGCAAAAUGGUGCCGUAACUUCGGGAGAAGGCACGCUGACACGUAGGUGAAGUGAUUUACUCAUGGAGCUGAAGUCAGUCGAAGAUACCAGCUGGCUGCAACUGUUUAUUAAAAACACAGCACUGUGCAAACACGAAAGUGGACGUAUACGGUGUGACGCCUGCCCGGUGCCGGAAGGUUAAUUGAUGGGGUCAGCGCAAGCGAAGCUCCUGAUCGAAGCCCCGGUAAACGGCGGCCGUAACUAUAACGGUCCUAAGGUAGCGAAAUUCCUUGUCGGGUAAGUUCCGACCUGCACGAAUGGCGUAAUGAUGGCCAGGCUGUCUCCACCCGAGACUCAGUGAAAUUGAACUCGCUGUGAAGAUGCAGUGUACCCGCGGCAAGACGGAAAGACCCCGUGAACCUUUACUAUAGCUUGACACUGAACAUUGAGCCUUGAUGUGUAGGAUAGGUGGGAGGCUUUGAAGUGUGGACGCCAGUCUGCAUGGAGCCGACCUUGAAAUACCACCCUUUAAUGUUUGAUGUUCUAACGUGGACCCGUUACCCGGGUUGCGGACAGUGUCUGGUGGGUAGUUUGACUGGGGCGGUCUCCUCCUAAAGAGUAACGGAGGAGCACGAAGGUUGGCUAAUCCUGGUCGGACAUCAGGAGGUUAGUGCAAUGGCAUAAGCCAGCUUGACUGCGAGCGUGACGGCGCGAGCAGGUGCGAAAGCAGGUCAUAGUGAUCCGGUGGUUCUGAAUGGAAGGGCCAUCGCUCAACGGAUAAAAGGUACUCCGGGGAUAACAGGCUGAUACCGCCCAAGAGUUCAUAUCGACGGCGGUGUUUGGCACCUCGAUGUCGGCUCAUCACAUCCUGGGGCUGAAGUAGGUCCCAAGGGUAUGGCUGUUCGCCAUUUAAAGUGGUACGCGAGCUGGGUUUAGAACGUCGUGAGACAGUUCGGUCCCUAUCUGCCGUGGGCGCUGGAGAACUGAGGGGGGCUGCUCCUAGUACGAGAGGACCGGAGUGGACGCAUCACUGGUGUUCGGGUUGUCAUGCCAAUGGCACUGCCCGGUAGCUAAAUGCGGAAGAGAUAAGUGCUGAAAGCAUCUAAGCACGAAACUUGCCCCGAGAUGAGUUCUCCCUGAGACUUAAAGUCUCCUGAAGGAACGUUGAAGACGACGACGUUGAUAGGCCGGGUGUGUAAGCGCAGCGAUGCGUUGAGCUAACCGGUACUAAUGAACCGUGAGGCUUAACCUUACAACGCCGAAG